rnacentral:rRNA from 1 species
ACGCUCGACACCUACGGGAGCAGCAGUAGGGAAUCUUCCACAAUGGACGCAAGUCUGAUGGAGCAACGCCGCGUGAGUGAAGAAGGUUUUCGGAUCGUAAAGCUCUGUUGUUGGUGAAGAAGGAUAGAGGUAGUAACUGGCCUUUAUUUGACGGUAAUCAACCAGAAAGUCACGGCUAACUACGUGCCAUCAGCCGCGGUAAUCUGAGCGGGCUGGCAAGGC